UUAAGCGACUAAGCGUACACGGUGGAUGCCCUGGCAGUCAGAGGCGAUGAAGGACGUGCUAAUCUGCGAUAAGCGUCGGUAAGGUGAUAUGAACCGUUAUAACCGGCGAUUUCCGAAUGGGGAAACCCAGUGUGAUUCGUCACACUAUCAUUAACUGAAUCCAUAGGUUAAUGAGGCGAACCGGGGGGAACUGAAACAUCUAAGUACCCCGAGGAAAAGAAAUCAACCGAGAUUCCCCCAGUAGCGGCGAACGAACGGGGAGGAGCCCAGAGCCUGAAUCAGUGUGUGUGUUAGUGGAAGCGUCUGGAAAGGCGCGCGAUACAGGGUGACAGCCCCGUACACAAAAAUGCACAUACUGUGAGCUCGAUGAGUAGGGCGGGACACGUGGUAUCCUGUCUGAAUAUGGGGGGACCAUCCUCCAAGGCUAAAUACUCCUGACUGACCGAUAGUGAACCAGUACCGUGAGGGAAAGGCGAAAAGAACCCCGGCGAGGGGAGUGAAAAAGAACCUGAAACCGUGUACGUACAAGCAGUGGGAGCACAGAGCAAUCUGUGUGACUGCGUACCUUUUGUAUAAUGGGUCAGCGACUUAUAUUCUGUAGCAAGGUUAACCGAAUAGGGGAGCCGAAGGGAAACCGAGUCUUAACCGGGCGUUAAGUUGCAGGGUAUAGACCCGAAACCCGGUGAUCUAGCCAUGGGCAGGUUGAAGGUUGGGUAACACUAACUGGAGGACCGAACCGACUAAUGUUGAAAAAUUAGCGGAUGACUUGUGGCUGGGGGUGAAAGGCCAAUCAAACCGGGAGAUAGCUGGUUCUCCCCGAAAGCUAUUUAGGUAGCGCCUCGUGAAUUCAUCUCCGGGGGUAGAGCACUGUUUCGGCAAGGGGGUCAUCCCGACUUACCAACCCGAUGCAAACUGCGAAUACCGGAGAAUGUUAUCACGGGAGACACACGGCGGGUGCUAACGUCCGUCGUGAAGAGGGAAACAACCCAGACCGCCAGCUAAGGUCCCAAAGUCAUGGUUAAGUGGGAAACGAUGUGGGAAGGCCCAGACAGCCAGGAUGUUGGCUUAGAAGCAGCCAUCAUUUAAAGAAAGCGUAAUAGCUCACUGGUCGAGUCGGCCUGCGCGGAAGAUGUAACGGGGCUAAACCAUGCACCGAAGCUGCGGCAGCGACACUGUGUGUUGUUGGGUAGGGGAGCGUUCUGUAAGCCUGUGAAGGUGUGCUGUGAGGCAUGCUGGAGGUAUCAGAAGUGCGAAUGCUGACAUAAGUAACGAUAAAGCGGGUGAAAAGCCCGCUCGCCGGAAGACCAAGGGUUCCUGUCCAACGUUAAUCGGGGCAGGGUGAGUCGACCCCUAAGGCGAGGCCGAAAGGCGUAGUCGAUGGGAAACAGGUUAAUAUUCCUGUACUUGGUGUUACUGCGAAGGGGGGACGGAGAAGGCUAUGUUGGCCGGGCGACGGUUGUCCCGGUUUAAGCGUGUAGGCUGGUUUUCCAGGCAAAUCCGGAAAAUCAAGGCUGAGGCGUGAUGACGAGGCACUACGGUGCUGAAGCAACAAAUGCCCUGCUUCCAGGAAAAGCCUCUAAGCAUCAGGUAACAUCAAAUCGUACCCCAAACCGACACAGGUGGUCAGGUAGAGAAUACCAAGGCGCUUGAGAGAACUCGGGUGAAGGAACUAGGCAAAAUGGUGCCGUAACUUCGGGAGAAGGCACGCUGAUAUGUAGGUGAAGUCCCUCGCGGAUGGAGCUGAAAUCAGUCGAAGAUACCAGCUGGCUGCAACUGUUUAUUAAAAACACAGCACUGUGCAAACACGAAAGUGGACGUAUACGGUGUGACGCCUGCCCGGUGCCGGAAGGUUAAUUGAUGGGGUCAGCGCAAGCGAAGCUCUUGAUCGAAGCCCCGGUAAACGGCGGCCGUAACUAUAACGGUCCUAAGGUAGCGAAAUUCCUUGUCGGGUAAGUUCCGACCUGCACGAAUGGCGUAAUGAUGGCCAGGCUGUCUCCACCCGAGACUCAGUGAAAUUGAACUCGCUGUGAAGAUGCAGUGUACCCGCGGCAAGACGGAAAGACCCCGUGAACCUUUACUAUAGCUUGACACUGAACAUUGAGCCUUGAUGUGUAGGAUAGGUGGGAGGCUUUGAAGUGUGGACGCCAGUCUGCAUGGAGCCGACCUUGAAAUACCACCCUUUAAUGUUUGAUGUUCUAACGUGGACCCGUGAUCCGGGUUGCGGACAGUGUCUGGUGGGUAGUUUGACUGGGGCGGUCUCCUCCUAAAGAGUAACGGAGGAGCACGAAGGUUGGCUAAUCCUGGUCGGACAUCAGGAGGUUAGUGCAAUGGCAUAAGCCAGCUUGACUGCGAGCGUGACGGCGCGAGCAGGUGCGAAAGCAGGUCAUAGUGAUCCGGUGGUUCUGAAUGGAAGGGCCAUCGCUCAACGGAUAAAAGGUACUCCGGGGAUAACAGGCUGAUACCGCCCAAGAGUUCAUAUCGACGGCGGUGUUUGGCACCUCGAUGUCGGCUCAUCACAUCCUGGGGCUGAAGUAGGUCCCAAGGGUAUGGCUGUUCGCCAUUUAAAGUGGUACGCGAGCUGGGUUUAGAACGUCGUGAGACAGUUCGGUCCCUAUCUGCCGUGGGCGCUGGAGAACUGAGGGGGGCUGCUCCUAGUACGAGAGGACCGGAGUGGACGCAUCACUGGUGUUCGGGUUGUCAUGCCAAUGGCACUGCCCGGUAGCUAAAUGCGGAAGAGAUAAGUGCUGAAAGCAUCUAAGCACGAAACUUGCCCCGAGAUGAGUUCUCCCUGACCCUUUAAGGGUCCUGAAGGAACGUUGAAGACGACGACGUUGAUAGGCCGGGUGUGUAAGCGCAGCGAUGCGUUGAGCUAACCGGUACUAAUGAACCGUGAGGCUUAACCUU
rnacentral:rRNA from 1 species